rnacentral:rRNA from 1 species
UACGAAGGGGGCUAGCGUUGUUCGGAAUUACUGGGCGUAAAGCGCGCGCAGGCGGUCCUUUAAGUCGGGGGUGAAAGCCCAGAGCUCAACUCUGGAACUGCCUUCGAAACUAGAGGACUUGGGUACGGGAGAGGUGAGUGGAAUUCCGAGUGUAGAGGUGAAAUUCGUAGAUAUUCGGAAGAACACCAGUGGCGAAGGCGGCUCACUGGCCCGUAACUGACGCUGAGGCACGAAAGCGUGGGGAGCAAACAGG